rnacentral:rRNA from 1 species
GACGAACGCUGGCGGCGUGCUUAACACAUGCAAGUCGAACGGGUCUGCCCUGUUUUUUGCGGGGUGGGUCAGUGGCGAACGGGUGAGUAACACGUGAGUAACCUGCCCCUCACUUCUGGAUAACCGCUUGAAAGGGUGGCUAAUACGGGGUGUUCUGGCUGUGCCGCAUGGUGUGGCUGGGAAAGAUUCACUUUUGUGGUGUUUUGGUGGGGGAUGGGCUCGCGGCCUAUCAGCUUGUUGGUGGGGUGAUGGCCUGCCAAGGCUUUGACGGGUAGCCGGCCUGAGAGGGUGGGCGGUCACACUGGGACUGAGAUACGGCCCAGACUCCUGCGGGAGGCAGCAGUGGGGGGUAUUGCACAAUGGGCGGAAGGCUGAUGCAGCGACGUCGCGUGAGGGAUGGAGGCCUUCGGGUUGUGAACCUCUUUCGCCGGUGAAGAAGGUCCUGCUCUUUGUGGUGGGGUUGACGGUAGCCGGGUUAUGAAGCGCCGGCUAACUACGUG